rnacentral:lncRNA from 1 species
AUGCACCUCAUAAGCUUGCUAUCAUACGUAUAUAAGCGGUCUCUCUACGUCUUUGUGAUUGCCAAUUGCUUUCUUCACCAGAUGCCUCCUACCUGGGCAGCUUUUCUUCUCAUUUGCACAGUAGGUGCUCUCACAAGACCUAAAGUGUACUGGGAUUUGUCUCAUAGUCUUACCAAUACUACUGUGACAUUAUACCCGUUGAAUACGAAAACACCUUAUCAACUCUGAACUCUACUACUAAAUAUUUCUCAUUGGCAAAGUG